UGAGGUAGAGGCGCGGUAUUUAACAGUCUUUGACAGAGCUUGAGCAGCUAUGACGUCAGGGAGAAGGAAAUAUCGCCGAAGCGAAGGAUCAGGCUCUAUGCUCCUUUGCUGGGUCUGCAGUGAAUAACUGCAGGACUGUCUUGACAGACUUCC
rnacentral:ncRNA from 1 species